rnacentral:pre_miRNA from 1 species
AGUAGAUGAAGCUGCCAGCAUGAUCUGACCAUCUCUCUUUCUCUCUCUCUCUCUCUCUAAAAGAGAAGAGGGAACUAUCAGAUCAUGUGGCAGUUUCAUCUGCU